rnacentral:rRNA from 1 species
UACGGAGGGUGCAAGCGUUGUCCGGAUUUAUUGGGUUUAAAGGGUGCGUAGGCGGCCCUGUAAGUCAGUGGUGAAAUCUCUAGGCUUAACCUGGAAAUUGCCGUUGAUACUAUAUAUCUUGAAUGCUGUGGAGGUAAGCGGAAUAUGUCAUGUAGCGGUGAAAUGCUUAGAUAUGACAUAGAACACCUAUUGCGAAGGCAGCUUACUACGCAGAUAUUGACGCUCAUGCACGAAAGCGUGGGGAUCAAACAGG